rnacentral:rRNA from 1 species
AUUGAACGCUGGCGGCAUGCCUUACACAUGCAAGUCGAACGGCAGCACGGGAGCAAUCCUGGUGGCGAGUGGCGAACGGGUGAGUAACGCAUCGGAACGUGCCCAGUCGUGGGGGAUAGCCCGGCGAAAGCCGGAUUAAUACCGCAUACGACCUGAGGGUGAAAGCGGGGGACCUUUCGGGGCCUCGCGCGAUUGGAGCGGCCGAUGUCAGAUUAGGUAGUUGGUGGGGUAAAGGCCCACCAAGCCGACGAUCUGUAGCUGGUCUGAGAGGACGACCAGCCACACUGGGACUGAGACACGGCCCAGACUCCUACGGGAGGCAGCAGUGGGGAAUUUUGGGCAAUGGGCGCAAGCCUGAUCCAGCCAUGCCGCGUGCGGGGAGAAGGCCUUCGGGUUGUAAACCGCUUUUGUCGGGGAAGAAAUGCUCCGGGAUAAUACCCUGGGGAGAUGACGGUACUCGAAGAAUAAGCACCGGCUAACUACGUGCCAGCCGCCGCGGUAAAAC